GCACUGUGAUGAAUUAAUGUAAUGAAUAUCAGCUGAUUCUUUUAAUUUUGAGCUUUUUAACUCUGAUGUGCA
rnacentral:snoRNA from 1 species